GAAAAAGAUGAUUUAAAGAUAAUAAUGUCUAUUAGUGGAUCAUAGAUUCUAAAUGAUAAUCAGCUUUUAACCAUGAAAUAUCACAUGCAAAUCUGUAUACUUGAGAACUCCUUUUUAUUGGUUAGAAGAUGGAUUUGAUUUCCAAGUCAUAUUUAAAAGAACCAUAUCUGCAUAUAUAAAUAGUGAAAAAUGAGACUCCCACAGGGUCAAAAACGACCUGCGACCUCUGGCCUUUUUAGAGACGACUUCCGACCUGAGGGCCUUCUAAAAACGACCUGCGACCUGUAAAAUUUGGAAUAAAACGACCUCCGACCGACUUCUGUCCUCUGUGUUGGGAAAAACGACCUGCGACCUGCAAAUUUCCCUUAAAAACAACCUCUCGACGAAUUUAAAAGCGACCUUGCGACCUGAGGGGGGUACCCUGUGGGAGCCUCAAAAAUAGGUCAUUAAGAAAAUUAACUUGGAAUUUUUUAUGACAACUAUUAUUUCACCAGUAUUUUUUGUAAAUUGAAUACAUACUUUUUUUAAUCAAAGAAUGGCAAAUAGGAUUAAACAAGCUACUCGUAUUUGAUAAAGGGCAUAUGAGACAGUAGGGGUCUAGGGAUGACACUUUUUUUUUUAUUGAAUAAUGAAAACAACAUUUUUCAUCAACAUCAAGGAAAGAUGUUUUCCUUAAAAUUUUUAAAGCC
rnacentral:lncRNA from 1 species